GAGAGCCAGAGGUGGAAACUCCACAUAUCGCCACCAAGGGAUCUGGUUUGAGGUUUUCAAAUGCUUGAAGUGACUCCUGACAUGGUUUGGCUAUGAAAUUCAUCUGCUUAAAGCUGAAGGGAGACAAACUCUGAGACAGAACCCAGCAGGCCUGUCCAGCCCUCGGAGGAAGGGCCCCCAGGAACUGUCUGUCGGAGGGGCCGGGAAGGACAAGGCCACUGGCACUGGAGUCCAGGAAAAAGCCACAGACACAGAUACAGAGAUGCUGACACAUGGGCAUGAAAUCUGGAGUCAGGCUUUGGUGUCUGACCUCCUGAAAAAGAAAAUGAAAACAUUUCUAAGUGUUCACACUUUCCCCGUGAGAGGACAGACACAAUACCCUUGAACCCAGAUGAAAAGAAAGAACCUAAAGGACACAUCUGAUCGGAAGGGGCAGUGCAGUCACCAUCUAACAAUAAACGGCCAAGGAAAAGAACAAUGCGAGGGGUUGCUGAGACUCUAUCACUCCACCAUCAAGAAGAGUGUUGUCUUUCUCAUGUCUGGAAUUCCUUGAAUAUUUGCCGUGCGUGUCUAUACAGCCUCCCGGAGUACUUUUCCUUCUUAUGGAGUCGAGUUGUGUUUUUCUGCUGUUGGCCCAGGGCUGCUUUUAUACAAUCCUACCCGCCCGCAGGACAUCCCCUCCCUCAGGAAGCCUCUGGAGAAAGCACCGCGCCAUUCAGACCUCUCUGAGAGCCACACAGCUCGCACUUCUUCAACUAGUUUCCAUUUUGAUACUGGUCUCAACUGCUCCAAGUGUGUUCAUCUAGAUGACAAGACAAAAGAAGCUGCAGACAGAUUUUGUUUGGUCUGCACAGAUGUUUUGAAAAGUGAAGAUACUAUACAUUCAAACUCAAAGUUUUGACUCUUUUGGAAAAGUUGGAAGAUCUGGCCACAUUAGACCUACAAACCUGCAAAGCAACAGACGGCCUGUCCCCUUCUGAUGGGCAUAACCUCUCUAGUUUACUGCAGGCCGCAUUGGCUCAUGGCCUUACCUCAUUUACGUUAUCUGAUGAGCCUCUCUGAAGCCAUUUAAAUGUUCGCUCUAGAGCCAGCUCCUUGGGCAGGACCGUGAUUUAUAGUUAUUAUGAUUCUCCACAGUGCCCAGGCCCCUGGUUAGCAUAUUAAUCAAGAUGCUAAUUGAGAGAAGGAAAAUCAGUCCAGUGACCUGAUGUCCAGUGAGCCUGCCUCCCCGGGGGUGAGGACUGUUCCCCCUUUAACCACAGGUUAUACGCUAUUCAGCAACAGCUGGCCAGCCACUGACCCUUGGGGUGGGAGAGCGCAAAUGCCCGCCUGGCUGCCAUAGAGAAAUUCACCUCCUCCUCUUCCUUCUCUUGUAAACUUGAUAAGAUACAUAAAAUCCUGAGGAAACAAGUUGUUGGAGGAGGAGUUGGCUCUGCGGGGUAAGGAACUGAAACACUCCUAAAGCUGCCAGUACAAAUGGCCAUUCGCAAGAAAUGCCUUAUUUAGAGAGCAUUACAUAACAUCUCUGAGAUACAAGUCUGAGGAGAAGUUUGCCUCUGAAAGAAAAUUGCAGGAGGAAAUCCAUGAGUUUCCUUUUACUCAGAUAUUGUGAGGCCAGGUGAAAUGUUUGCUUCAAAUUCCAUCAAAAUGAGAAUGUUAAUUACAGAAGGUCAAAAUAUAGGUAGGUAAGUUCCUAGAGAAGCUUCAGUGCUUCCAGAAAGAUUUCUUCUCCUAGUGCAGCAAAGCUUUACACAUACAGAGGCAUAAAAAAUGCAAAGAUGAUGUUGUCCGAUCUGAAGUGAAAAGCAUAAAGGGAGGACUCCCUCAGAUCAGUACCACGGAGGGAGAACAUGAGCGAAGGGAACUUGUGUUUGUUGAGUGCCUGCUCAACUGUGCGCCAGGCCUGUGCUGGUGUCCCAUCAGUAUCAUCCCACUUGAUGUGCACAACAGCCCAACAGAGCAGGUCCUACUGUUCUAUCUGUUUCACAGAAGAGGAACAUUGGGUACAAGAGACGCCCUCCUGCAUCUCUGGUCUCCUGGUGCUCAACUUCCUCCCUGCUCACCUAGUCCAGCCGCCUGCAGGCCGUUAGAGCCCAGCACGACUGCUCCUUCCUUCGAAACCACAACCCAAAGGGAGCCUGCCUCUCUCGGCGUCUCUCAUACAAUGUGGGAGUUCAGCGUAUGGUUACUGACAAGGAUGAGGUGAUUGACCUCCAAGCCGGGCCUGGUCAGGUCCAGACAUGGGACGGCACUUCUCCAGACUGGACAAGUGAGAAACGCAAGUCACUUUAACCACACAUCAGAUCCAUAGUGAUGGGGGGCAGAGACAGGACCUCCCUCCCCCAACCCGGGCUGAGCUCUCAUGGCUUCCAGCAAACGGCCCUCCCUGGGCUCACUCGGGAACAGCGUGCCACAUGCAGACAGAUGAUAUAUUCCACCAACCCUGGCUACCGAAGGAACAGCCAAAGGAAAUGGGAAAAUCAGCCCAUCUGUACCAAACAACAAACACUUUGUGGCUAUUGGGAGACGAUUCCAGUAGUAGUGGAUUGUAACUGCCCUCGAUGUGGAAUAGCUUCUGUGGGAAGCUUGGGCCGUUCAUUCCCACUGACUUCGGAGCUAGAUCGUUCCACUGGCAGAGCUCUCCACCUGCAGAGGCCCCCACAGGCAAUGCCAAAACAUCUCCGUCUGCUUACCCCAGUGGGGAAUUUUCAGGGAAACCCUGACUGUCUGACUGACUCAUACUACCACUAAUAAAAAGACGCUCCGUGUGUGAGGCUGGCCAAACCUGGCAAUUCAAAAGGCCUUGUUGCUAGUCCCACUUGCCGGAUUGCAUCAUCAGACCGGUCUCAGCCUCAUUUGGGAAUCUCCUUAAGUCUCCAGUGUCCGUUUUUUGGGGCCUCAUUAGGAAUCAAAUUCAAACUCUGCCAGUUCUACUGCUUUGGUAGUUUUCUCUCUUCUACUUCUUGGGGGUGAGUAGCAAGCAAUUAUAUCCUCCAAAGUCAUUGUUCGUUUUAGCCGUUUGCACUACGAAUAACCAAAUGGUCCUAUGUUUUGUCCUCCAGUGAGACCUUGGGGCAGAGGAAAGGAUACGUGAGAAUAAACCCAGGGCUACGAGCACCAUCCCUCCAGCGUAGCACUUCUAGCCUGCUUUUUCAAUCAAAUGUCACAUUAUUGAUUCCCAUUGAUUCUCACAGCUUGGGCACUGUUGUAUUAAUUUGAUAUCAACAUGUGCCCAUGUUGUAGGAAGUGCUGUCCGUGCUGGGGAGGGUUCUGCUUCCUUGUUCUCUCAUUCAGAGCAGGGACCUCCCGGUGCCAGAGUGUGAUCCGUUUAGUAAAGGAGAGAAGGAUUUCCUCCCAGUGCUGUGGACACCCGGGGCAGGCAGUCUGCCUGUGUUUUUAAUAGCAUAUGGCAGAGAAAGAAGCUGCCACGCUCUAAUACCACCCAUCCCUCCUCCCCACUCUUUCUGGUUUUCUUUUCACGUGGGUCAUUUGUAGUCACACUCCACUGACAAAAGCAAAGGACGGUGCCCAGCGGGACCACAGCCCUGCCAGUGGCUUCCUGGAGCCUGAUAUGCUGGCUCCUGGAGGAUGAAGCCCAGGGCUGGUCCUCUGAAGCCCCAAUUCAAUGAUUAAAUAAUAGAUGACCCGAACAUAGGGCCUGAAAGAAAAGCCCUUAUUGGUAAUUGCCAAGGGACUUCUCAACCGGGAGCAGUAUUAUCCUUGUAAUAAGCAUUUAGCCAUAUAUGGGGGGAGGGGAUUAGGGGUUGCCACCAUUUCUGUCAUUUUAGUAGGGGACGUGGGGAUACUAAACUUCCUGCAUUACAUAAGUAGGUCAUUCUCAACCCAGAAUCAUCGCCAAAUGCCAAUAGCCCCAUUGAGAAACACUGUUAACCCACUACCCUUGUCCUAUAGAUUGGGAGAGUGAGGGCUGGGAAGUUUAGUGACUUGCUCAAGGUCACAAAGCUACUUUCCCUCCUGUCUUACAAUUCAGGAAACUACCACAGGAAGUUUCCUCAAAACACAGGAGAAAGAUAUCAAGAGAUCAUUUCAAUGUGAUUCCUAUUGAGGCCAAUAACCUAUAGAAACUCCUCCAAAACAUGGAAAGUAACCCAUAGAAGAGUA